GACGAACGCUGGCGGCGUGCUUAACACAUGCAAGUCGAGCGGUAAGGGCCCUUUCGGGGGUACACGAGCGGCGAACGGGUGAGUAACACGUGGGUGACCUGCCCUCAGCUCUGGGAUAAGCCCGGGAAACUGGGUCUAAUACUGGAUAUGACUCCAUGACGCAUGUUGUGGGGUGGAAAGCCUUGUGCGGCUGGGGAUGGGCCCGCGGCCUAUCAGCUUGUUGGUGGGGUGAUGGCCUACCAAGGCGACGACGGGUAGCCGGCCUGAGAGGGCGACCGGCCACACUGGGACUGAGACACGGCCCAGACUCCUACGGGAGGCAGCAGUGGGGAAUCUUGCGCAAUGGGCGAAAGCCUGACGCAGCGACGCCGCGUGAGGGAUGACGGCCUGG
rnacentral:rRNA from 1 species